UUUUAGACUAAUCAGGUAGUAAGACAAUCAAAAACCAAAAUAAAAUGGCGGUCUUAAAAAAUUAGAGAAACUCGCUUUAUAAUCGACAACACCCGAUUAAUUACACUCGCUUAACAAUUAGUCUAUAUACCGCCGUUCCAGAGCAUUUCACAAAAUACAACUCAUUAUUUUUAACUAACCUAAAAUCAGGUCAAGGUGUAACAAAUAAGUUAGAAAAAGUAAGUUACAUUAAAAUCAAUUUAAGGAAUUUAUUGUAAACAAAUAAAAGAAAAAGAAUUUAUAAGUACAGAUAGAUUAAAAUUCAAUCAAGACAAAUAACAUUAAGACGC
rnacentral:rRNA from 1 species